rnacentral:lncRNA from 1 species
GUCAAACUAAAGAAAGAGAGAUACUGACUUCAUCAGUAAAUGGCUGCUUGCGAGGUGGCAGGGUCUGUGAUUUUCUCCAUGCUGUGCUUUAUGGGCAAGACAGUGGAUUUGAGGAUAUCCACUUGAACCUAUACUGAUGCUCGCUAGCUCUGGACAGCAGCCAAAGCAGGAGGUGGAGCAGACACAGCUGGCCUUCAGUCUUCGGGCCUCACAGCCGGGAAGAACAUUUGUGAUUGGUUUGGUUUUCCUUAUGUGAAGUCUCUAUUAGGCAUGGAGAGGGGGGCGGGAUACUAAGGUGUUACACGGAAUUUCACUUUACAGACAUAUUUUUAAAAGACUGUCUAUUGUGGGUAUUUUUAGGAUAGGUGUACUUCUUUGUAAGGUCUCCUAUUUGAAACCAUGGAGGUUUUAGGCAAGAGUUUUCCCAAGCCGGAGUUCUUUAUCCUACCUUUGGGGUACUGCUCAGUGAGCAUGGACAAAAACUUGUAUCUCUGGACCUUAGUUAUUUUGUAUGUUAAAUUUGAGUGAGGGAAUUC